rnacentral:misc_RNA from 1 species
GUUUCCCCUCAAACACCCGUCUCGUUUUGGAUAAUUAGUUCCUUCAUGAUAGUCGCCGCCGUCGCCGCGGCGUCGCCACCUGUUUCCCCGCCAUAUUUGAACUCAAAUCCCGGCUGUUUCCGAGAUCGAAAGCAGCUUCUCUUCAAGUUACAGAAAUGCAAAAGCAUUCAACAUGCUGCUCCAAUUCAUGCGCAUAUAAUAAAAAACGGCAAUCCCAAUGACCCCUUUAUUCUAUUCGAGCUUCUUCGUAUU